UAAGGAAUAUUGGACAAUGGUGGCAACACUGAUCCAGCCAUGCCGCGUGAAGGAUGAAGGCCCUAUGGGUCGUAAACUUCUUUUGAACGGGAGAAAACCUGGAUACGUGUAUCCAGCUGAUAGUACCGUUAGAAUAAGGGACGGCUAACUUCGUGCCAGCAGCCGCGGUAAUACGAAGGUCCCGAGCGUUAUCCGGAUUCAUUGGGUUUAAAGGGUGCGUAGGCGGAAUAUUAAGUCAGUGGUGAAAUCUUGCAGCUUAACUGUAAAACUGCCAUUGAUACUGAUGUUCUUGAGUACAUUUGAUGUGGGCGGAAUAUGUCAUGUAGUGGUGAAAUACUUAGAUAUGACAUAGAACACCGAUUGCGAAGGCAGCUCACAAAACUGUAACUGACGCUGAGGC
rnacentral:rRNA from 1 species